rnacentral:rRNA from 1 species
GACGAACGCUGGCGGCAUGCCUAAUACAUGCAAGUCGAGCGGACAUUUAUUGAUGCUUGCUUCUAUAAGUGUUAGCGGCGGGUGGGUGAGUCACACGUGGGCAACCUUCCCUGUAGAUGGGGAUAACUCCGGGAAACCGGGGCUAAUACCGGAUGAUCAGUUUGUCCGCAUGGACAAACUCUAAAAGACGGCUUCGGCUGUCACUGCAGGAUGGGCCCGCGGCGCAUUAGCUAGUUGGUCGGAUAACGGCCUACCAAGGCCACGAUGCGUAGCCGACCUGGGAGGGUGAUAGGCCACACUGGAACUGAGACACGGCCCAGGCUACUACGGGAGGGAGCAGUAGGGAAUCGUACACAAUGGACGGAAGUCUGAUGGAGCAAUGCCGCGUGAGCGAAGAAGGUUUUCGGAUCGUAAAGCUGUGUUGUGAGGGAAGAACAAGUACGGGAGUAACUGCACGGAGCUUGACGGUACUUGAUAAGAAAGCAACGGCUAACUACGUG